AGAAAGUGGGACCUCGAGGCCCCCCCGGCCCCCAGGGGCCCCCCGGGAAGCCAGGCAGGGACGGCAUUGAUGGAGAAGCUGGCCCCCCCGGCCUGCCUGGAGCCCCGGGAGCACGAGGCGGCCCGGGGGAGCCGGGGCGGCCAGGGGCGGCCGGGC